GUCCUUUUAGCUUAAUGGUAAAGCAUAAAACUUCUAAUUUUAGUAUUUCAGGUUCAAUUCCUGAAAAGGAUU
rnacentral:tRNA from 1 species